rnacentral:lncRNA from 1 species
GAGGCGUCAAAUUCUAACAUGGACCUUUCAGUCGUUUAUCGGAGGUUUUGAUGUGGGUUUUGCUGUAAUCAUUAAUCAAUCAUUUGAUUUCUCUUGCUUGGAUCGCUUUGAUUCCCUUUUCUUGUUGGUUCUUGCUUAUUUUUGGGUUUUGCAUCUGAUUCUUGGAUUUACUGGCUGUUUCUUUGAGGUUGGGCGAAGGUUUUCAUCGCUCCCCUGCUCCCCUGUCUUUAUGAAGCUUGUGCAUCUCGGUCUUAUUGUGAUUCUCGAUUUAUGGCUGCUGUCUAUAUCCUGAUUUGGAAAGUUGGUAUUUCUUAUGAUUUUGAUCCCACAUUAUUGGUUGUUUUUGCUUCUCAGUCGUUGUUGAAGAUACCAAAAGGUAGAUCACACCAGUGGGUUUUUGGACUAAAGAAAGCACUCGUUCCCAUUUAGAAAGAAUUACUUCUUUGUUUUGGAUCUCCUGUACGGUGUGUUUG